GUCUAUGGCCAUACCACCUUGAACGUGCCCGAUCUUGUCUGAUCUUGGAAGCUAAGCAGGGUCGGGCCUGGUUAGUACUUGGAUGGGAGAAUUGCUAUUCUCAGAAAAACGUGUUUAGGUU
rnacentral:rRNA from 1 species